CUUAAUCCUAGAGGGUACUAAGUAAGCAUAAUCUGAUGCCGUUUGAUUGGCGGAGAGUUGAAUGGAUUAACGAGUGCAUACCUGUCUUAUCAAAAGAAAAAUUUAAUUAGACAUUUAAGUGAAGAGGCUUAAAAUAAUAGAAAGACGAGAAGACCCCGUGAAGCUUUACUAUAAACUAACUUUAUAAUUUUUUUUUCUUUAUUUUUUUUAUUAAAUUAGCCAAUUUUGUUUAUUAUUAGUAGUUAGUUUGGUAGUUUGGGUGGGGCGCCCGCACUUUAAUAAAAACAAGUAGUUGAUAUCAUAAUUAUUAAGACUAUAUAAAUUACUUUUUUAUUUAGGGUUAUUUUACUAUCAAAAACCCUUACUAUUUAAAUAAUAGUAGGUCAUAGAAUAAUAGCUACUCCGGGGAUAACAGG
rnacentral:rRNA from 1 species